rnacentral:rRNA from 1 species
UACAGGGGGCUCGAGCGUUAGUCGGAAUCACUGGGCUUAAAGGGUGCGUAGGCGGUCCGCCAAGUGCUUUGUGAAAUCCCACAGCUCAACUGUGGAACAGCAGGGCAAACUGGAGGACUUGAGGCAGGUAGGGGCUGGAAGAACAGUUGGUGGAGCGGUGAAAUGCGUAGAUAUCGGAAGGAACAUCAGUGGCGAAAGCGGCUUCCUGGACCAGCACCGACGUUCAGGCACGAAAGCGUGGGGAGCAAACAGG